rnacentral:rRNA from 1 species
AAGUAUAGGAGCUGACGCCUGCCCAGUGCUGGAAGGUCAAGUGGAAAGGUAAGCGUUUUCAAGAUGCGAAGCUUUGAAAUUAAGCCCCAGUGAACGGCGGCCGUAACUAUAACGGUCCUAAGGUAGCGAAAUUCCUUGUCAGGUAAGUUCUGACCCGCACGAAAGGCGUAAUGAUUUGGGCACUGUCUCAACAAUAUUCUCGGCGAAAUUGUAGUACUAGUGAAGAUGCUAGUUACCUGUGAUAAGACAGCAAGACCCCAUGGAGCUUUACUGUAGCUUGAUAUUGAGACUAGGUAGGAGAUGUACAGGAUAGGUGGGAGACGAAGAUACUUGGACGCCAGUUCAAGAGGAGUCACUGUUGGGAUACCACCCUUCUUCUAUAUUGGAAUUCUAACUAAUCGCCGUAAUCCGGUGAUAGGACAGUGUCAGGUGGGCAGUUUGACUGGGGCGGUCGCCUCCUAAAGAGUAACGGAGGCGUUCAAAGGUCAGCUUAACACGGUCAGAAAUCGUGUGGAAGAGUGCAAAGGUAGAAGCUGGCUUGAUUGUGAGAGUGACAACUCGAGCAAACGCGAAAGCGGGACUUAGUGACCCGAUGGUAGUAAGUGGAAAUGCCAGAGCUCAACGGAUAAAAGUUACCCUGGGGAUAACAGGCUUAUCUCCCCCGAGAGUCCAUAUCGACGGGGAGGUUUGGCACCUCGAUGUCGGCUCAUCGCAUCCUGGAGCGGUAGUACGUUCCAAGGGUUGGGCUGUUCGCCCAUUAAAGCGGUACGCGAGCUGGGUUCAGAACGUCGUGAGACAGUUCGGUCCUUAUCUAUCACAGGCGUAAGAUAUUUGAGAGGAGUUGCCCCUAGUACGAGAGGACCGGGGUGAAGGAACCGAUGGUGCACCAGUUGUAUCACCAGAUGCAUAGCUGGGUAGCCAAGUUCCGACGGGAUAAACGCUGAAAGCAUAUAAGUGUGAAGCCCACCUCGAGAUAAGAUAUCUCAUAAUGAAAAGUUAGUAAGCCCCCUUGGAGAGAACGAGGAGAUAGGCUGGGAGUGUAAGUAUAGUAAUAUAUUGAGCGGACCAGUACUAAUAGGGCGAGGGCUUGACCAA